rnacentral:tRNA from 1 species
UUAAAGAAGUAGGAAUUGAACCUACACCUAAGAGAUCAAAACCCUUUGUACUUCCUUUAUACUAAUCUUUA